rnacentral:sRNA from 1 species
GCGGAGGAAAAGAAACCAACAGGGAUUGCCUCAGUAACGGCGAGUGAAGCGGCAACAGCUCAAAUUUGAAAUCUGGUCCCCUCUGGGGGCCCGAGUUGUAAUUUGAAGAGGAUGCUUUUGGCGAGGCGCCUUCCGAGUGCCCUGGAACGGGACGCCACAGAGGGUGAGAGCCCCGUAUGGUAGGACGCCGAGCCUCUGUAAAGCUCCUUCGACGAGUCGAGUAGUUUGGGAAUGCUGCUCAAAAUGGGAGGUAAACCCCUUCUAAAGCUAAAUAUUGGCCAGAGACCGAUAGCGCACAAGUAGAGUGAUCGAAAGAUGAAAAGCACUUUGAAAAGAGAGUUAAACAGCACGUGAAAUUGUUGAAAGGGAAGCGCUUGCGACCAGACUUGCGCCCGUCGGAUCAACCGUCCCUCGUGGGCGGCGCACUCCGGCGGGCUCAGGCCAGCAUCAGUUUUCCUGGGGGGAGAAAGGCGGUGGGAAUGUAGCUCUUCGGAGUGUUAUAGCCCGCCGCGUAAUGCCCUCGGGGGGACUGAGGACCGCGCGUAUGCAAGGAUGCUGGCGUAAUGGUCGUCAGCGACCCGUCUUGAAACACGGACCAAGGAGUCGUCCUAAUAUGCGAGUGUACGGGUGUAAAACCCCUGCGCGUAAUGAAAGUGAACGGAGGUGAGAGCUUCGGCGCAUCAUCGACCGAUCCUGAUGUUCUCGGAUGGAUUUGAGUAAGAGCAUAUUGGGCCGGACCCGAAAGAAGGUGAACUAUGCCUGUAUAGGGUGAAGCCAGAGGAAACUCUGGUGGAGGCUCGCAGCGGUUCUGACGUGCAAAUCGAUCG